rnacentral:rRNA from 1 species
GUGUCAGCAGCCGCGGUAAUACGUAGGUGGCAAGCGUUGUCCGGAUUUACUGGGCGUAAAGAGCGCGCAGGCGGCUGGGUCAGUCCGAUGUGAAAGCUUCCGGCUUAACUGGAAAAUUGCAUCGGAAACUGCUCAGCUUGAAGGUGGGAGAGGGUAGCGGAAUUCCCGGUGUAGUGGUGAAAUGCGUAGAUAUCGGGAGGAACACCAGUGGCGAAGGCGGCUACCUGGCCCAUUCUUGACGCUGAGGCGCGAAAGCUAGGGGAGCAAACGGGAUUAGAUACCCUAGUAGUCC